AGCUGCAGGGUGCCCCAACAACAACAGGCGGCUGAGCGCGGCGGCCUGAGGUUCGCGGCCGGGUUGAGUUGCUCGCCGCGGGGCCAGCAGGGUGGGAGCCGGGAGCCGCUGUCGCUCGCUCUCUCGGCCGCCCUUCGGAGAGAACUCCCGGCGGGAAGCGAGCCGCCAUCGGCAGCACGGCGCAGCGCGAUGAGCUGAGCCGCUUUCCGCACACGCGGAGCCUCGAGCAGCUCCCUGCUCGGGAAUCGUCGCCUUUCUGAAAGGGAGCAGCUGGGAAGCCUCCGGGCGUGCGGCUGAGGCGCUGUCCCGGCUCAGCGGGAAUCAUCGCCGUGGAGAGGGCUCCUGGCCGUGGCUUGCGGGAAGUGGAGGAGCCGUGGUGGCGUUGACUCCGUCAGAAGGAGAUGUGUGUGGGAGUUGAGCAGCUCUCGGGUUGUUAUUAGGAGAGUGGAAAAAAACAAACAAACAAACAAACAAAAAAACCCAGCACCUGAGGGAUUCCUCUUCGGAAACUGCGGGUGGGACGUGAACUGGGAGAGGCCCUACUGCUUUCUCGCCGUGAUGCUUUUCUCUGACCAGCGUUAUUCAGACGGGUGCAGACGUAGCAGUCAAACACUUGACGGUCCACUCACCUGGCAUACCUACGAGACAGCUUUGCGUUUGUGCUACUAGUUCUGCAGCCUGUUAGCAAUUCAGAAGGAAAGGAUGGGUCUUCCUGAAGGACGGAGUCAUAGCGUAGAGCCUGCACACGUUGUUUCUUUGUGGAGACAAAACAGCACUGGUCCCGUUGUGCAGCUCCGUUGUUAUUUCACAGCCCGUUCACUCACCCCGUGCCAUCUGAAUUAUGGGUGGACGACAGAAAAUCUCUCUAAAGGAAAGCAGAGAACAAGAAACAAUGAGUAAGUGAAGGAUUUCUUUCAGGGCUCCCAGAUCAGUCUUAGGGGAAACAAUGAAUUAGCAUCCUGAGCAGUGUUUGGCUAAGUCAGUAACUUGCCACUGACAGCUCACCAAGAUGGUUUCAUGUCACUUUCAAGUGAUGAACACUGCCAGCACAAAUUAUUUUCAACAGGCUUUACUGUUCUUUCAUAACAUGCGCUGUGUAAAGACCUACACCCAUGAAAUACCUACAGUUAAGUCACACUCUGUCCUGAUUCUUAGCUAACCAGCUGUAACCUUGGGUACCAUGUCAGACAGAAGAGCCAGAGUAAGUAAGCUCGGGUCUGAAGCAGCAACUACAAAGCUACCUAAAUUUAAUUUGUGGAUAUAGAGUCUCCCCUUUUCCUGACAAGGGGCUCUUGGCCUUAGAAGAGUUCUGGUAGAGAAUUAGAUCUUGUUCAUGUGGGAAGGUCACUGACCAUGAAGGCCAGUCCCCUUUUUUCCUGUUAAAUUGAUCCUUGUGUUCUUCUGUCAUCUUUCUUCCACUAUUACUUCUGCACUCAAUUAUCCUUCUACAUUAUUUUUGUGUUCUGAUUCCUUUGUAUGAGCAUCACUGCUUCUAGUGCGAUCAAGGUGGUCUAGGUAGGACGUUUUUGCUGUACAAGAUGGAACAGUUAGAAAAAAAAAAAGCAAAACACAGAUGAAAGCUUGAGAACAUUUAAAUUAUCAGGAUGGCUCUGUUGGGAUUGAUCUGUUUAGAUCAUCCAAAGUUGUUAAGCCUAUUUUUAAGAAUGCUUGCUUACUGAAUUGAGUAAAUCAGGUUGUUAUACAGGGAAUAUCUGCAAAUUAAACACAGGAUUAUUAUUUUUUUUUUGUCUCUACUAGUAUGUGGUAUUUAGACACAUUACACAAAACAAACAGCACCCAGGGAGAUAGUACUAGUUUCAUUUCUGUCAAGAGUUAUUAAGGUGGAAAGUGAAAUACUUGAGGUUAUAUGAAAGGUUCUGUAAUGCAAAAAAAAAAAAAAAAAAAAGCAAAACACUUAAGGAU